AAGGCAUGCAAGUCGAACGGGACUUUCGUGAUAGCAAUAUUAUGGAAGUUCAGUGGCGGACGGGUGAGUAAUGCAUGGGUAAUGUACCUUAUUCACAGGGAUAGCGGCGCCCCGCAAGGGGCUUUAGCGAAAGUGCCGGUAAUACCUGAUGACAUCUUCGGGUCGCAUGGCCUGAAGAUCAAAGAUGGGGACCGCAAGGCCUAUUGGAGUGAGAUCAACCCAUGUCCUAUCAGCUAGUUGGUGGGGUGAUGGCCUACCAAGGCUAAGACGGGUAGCCGGCGUGAGAGCGCGACCGGCCACAUCGGAACUGAGAUACUGUCCGGACACCUACGGGUGGCUGCAGCAACGAAUAUUCCGCAAUGGGCGAAAGCCUGACGGAGCGACGCCGCGUGGGGGAUGAAAUCCUUCGGGAUGUAAACUCCAUUAGUAUGUCAGGAAGUGAACUGACCUAAUACGUCGGUGAAUUGACCAGCAUACGAAAGGGGCGGCUAACUCCGUG
rnacentral:rRNA from 1 species